AAUCCCGUGAACCAUCGAGUCUUUGAACGCAAGUUGCGCCCGAAGCCAUUAGGCCGAGGGCACGUCUGCCUGGGCGUCACGCAUCGCGUCGCCCCCAAACCCCGCCCGCUCGCACGAGCGGUCGGGGUAGGGGCGGACAAUGGCCUCCCGUGAGCCUCGCGGCGCGCGGCCGGCCC
rnacentral:rRNA from 1 species